rnacentral:rRNA from 1 species
UGGGGAAUUUUGGACAAUGGGCGCAAGCCUGAUCCAGCCAUGCCGCGUGAGUGAAGAAGGCCUUCGGGUUGUAAAGCUCUUUCGGCCGGGACGAAAUCGCUCUCGCUAAUAUCGGGAGUGGAUGACGGUACCGGAAUAAGAAGCACCGGCUAACUACGUGCCAGCAGCCGCGGUAAUACGUAGGGUGCGAGCGUUAAUCGGAAUUACUGGGCGUAAAGCGUGCGCAGGCGGUUCCGCAAGUCAGAUGUGAAAUCCCCGGGCUUAACCUGGGAACUGCGUUUGAAACUACGGAGCUGGAGUACGGCAGAGGGAGGUGGAAUUCCAAGUGUAGCAGUGAAAUGCGUAGAUAUUUGGAGGAACACCAAUGGCGAAGGCAGCCUCCUGGGCUAGUACUGACGCUCAUGCACGAAAGCGUGGGGAGCAAACAGG